CCUCGUUCCGCCCGCGGGGCCGAGGCCGCCGGGGACAGCGCCCGGCCCGGCCGUCCGCGCACGGAAGCUGAUGUGAAAGAAACCAACUAUGAAGGAUCUGAGGAGAAUUCGUACUGCCUGUUUCCACAAUUACUAACAAGUGCUUUCCUGCUGCACCUUCAGAUUGAGAAGAAAUUCUCAUAGAACUGAUGGAGUUGACCUUAGAAACCUGCAACUGGAAGUGUGAUUCAACCACUGCUGGGGUUUUUGUCACCUUCAAACCUGCGUUGUGAAUAUGAACAUUUGGAGUGCUGUUACUCUGAAGAACCUCAAGGAGGGGUAAGCGAGGGUGGUCAUUCUUCUUAAUCAAAGCAUUCUACUUCUUUGUAGUAGGGCCUGGAAGGUGGAGAUGCUUUGACUUACAGAACCAAUAGGUGUGAUGUCUGUUUGCAGGAUGCAAGUCGUUUGCAGAAACACAAGCAAACUCACCUUGUGGAAAACCCACGUUGAUGUCUUGCCUGAGUCAAAGAGUUCUUUCAUGUGGCAAAUCUGUGAAUUAAUUCUAGUGUCAGGCCAUGCAGCCAUCCAGAGUGUUACAUGGGUUUCAUUUACACGGCUGAUACCUGGAGGCACUUGUGAAAUAUGCACAAGGUAGAGUGUUAAAGAUUUUAGGCUAGGAAUCCAUAGUCUCAAGCACACAGUACAGUGAGAACAACGUUUAUCAGCAGUGCUGAGAUGACCAUAAACCUAAAAAAGGUGUAAGCCAUACAUCUGUCCAACAUGUGGCAAAGGUUUUUGUAAGCCUAUUAACCUGUUUUCCCAACACAAGACGAUCCACUGACUAGAGAAACCUCAUGAAUGUCAGUUGGGAAGUCCUUUGUCCAGUUGAAAUGAGCGCUGAUGAGCAGAGAGGAGGGUUGUGUGCUUGUCUUGGAGAUGGGGAGGAGGUGUGGGAGUUUGUGUUCCUGGGCCUAGGUAGAAGAAAGCCUUUGCUGCCCAACUACUGCAUUACAGUAAGAAAUAUUUAAGACUUCAAAUUCAGAAAAAACGAGUGUCUUCCUAGUUGCAGGAGUUGGAAUGGCAGCAGUUUCUCUGCAAGGUUCUCCAUGUUAUGCAGCAUGUGAGUUUGUCAUAGAUUCAAGAACCAUUAUUAAGGGGAAGUUGCCUAUUUUUUUUUUUUUUUUUAAGUGCCUAGCCUAAAGAAAUAAAACUGUCACUUGCGUGUACAAAAGUAGAUGACUUUUUUGUGAGGGAAGUGGUUAGAUUUCUUUUCCUUGGCUCUGCAUCCUAGAAGAAUAGUUUCUGGUUUCAUGAGAUUUUUCUAGAUGGCAAAACUUACUAGCAUGCAAAUAUGGCAUGUAAUGUACAUUCUUGGUUGUUUUUAAUUUGAGUUCUGUAUCUGUUGUUAAUUGUAUAUACCCAUUUUGGAAACGUGUGAGCUCAGUUAAGAAAAUACACCGAGAUGGCUGACCAGAGUGCAGAAUAACAUUGAAAGCAGCAGUGAUCUCUGCAAGAUUACCUGGUGAUGCUGGAGAGUGAUUAUGACUGCAGGGAGCACGGUGCUGGUCAGUACAGAAGGGCUUGUAAAGUGAGCUGAGGAUGAGAUGGGUUUACCACAAAAGUCUUGGCGCUCUCGGUAUCUACAUCAUCAGUGAGCUGCAGAUAAACACAGCACACACAUCAGAGGAUGGAUGCGGAGGUGGACUGGGACUCUGAAAAUAGCACUUGUGAUACAGGUGAGGAGCUGUCAAAUGAUUCCAGAAAGAGCACUAAGGAGGUGGGCUACAAGUCUUGCCUCCAGGAGGAGGUGGGCAUGAAUUACUCACAGACGCUCAGUCCUUGUCGCAACUCUGCAGGACCAUCAGAUAAACAGGAACUUUCUACAGAGUUGCAGCGUGAAGACAAAGAAAUCUAUCAGACCUAUUACCAGAAACAAGGUGAGAGUACAGCUGGCAUAUUUGUCCCCUCCAGUACCAACUUGGACCUGCGGCACGAAGAUAAAACCUCGCAGCGUGGUUCCUCUGAGCACUCCAAGAGAUCACGGAGAAGAGCACGUGGUGAUAAUGAAAAUGCCCUUCUUGGUGGUGUGUUUGAUGCAGAGCCUGCAUCUGGGAAGGCCUUGUCCUGUCGGUGCAAGAAGUGCGGUGCCUCUUUCCAGGGGCCGAGUGAGCUGCAGCAGCAUAAGAGGACUCACCUCGUGGAAAACUCGUACCGCUGUCCUGUCUGUGCCAAAGAGUUCUUCCGUGCAGCAAACUUACGCAUGCACAAGCUCAUUCAUAACAGUGACAGGCCACACAAGUGUCCAGAGUGUGACAAGGGUUUCAUUCGCACGGCUGAUGUCUGGAGGCACCUCCGCAAUGUGCACAAGAUAGAGCGCUCCAUGGUGAUCUUAGGCAACGGCAUGGCUAGGAACCCGUGGUCGAUAGUGCACCGUAACCAGCACACUGUUGAGUACACCGAUCAGCCUUGUGCAGACAACCACAAGGCUGAGGAAGAAGACUGUAAGCCUUACGCCUGCCCAACGUGUGGCAAAGGUUUCGAUAAGCCAAACCUGCUUUCCAAACACAAAGUGAUCCACCGGCAGGAGAAGCCCUAUAAGUGUCAGGAAUGUGGCAUGGCGUUUGUCCAGCUGCUCAGGCUGAAAAGACACCAGCAGACUCACUCUGGGGUGCGUCCCUUCUAUUGUGAGGAGUGUGGAGGGACGUUCACAAGGCUGGCCUCGCUCCAGCGCCACCAGCGCAUCCACACCGGAGAGAAGCCCUACUCUUGUGAUUACUGUGGGCAUUCCUUCACCGAGUCAGGUGCAGAUGGUCAGUGAAGAAAAAUAUCUACUGUGACUGCAGGUUCAGGUAGAUGUUGCCAAAUUCUACGGGAGUGUGACUUUGGAAGAGGUAUGUAUUGCCACUGUUAUGGUAAUGGGGUUUUAACUUUGAAGCAUAAUCAUGAUGCUUACAAUAGCCUCUUGUUAACUACUGUGGUAGAAGCAUCCAGUUUGCCCUUAAGUGCCAGCUCAGAUUUCCUUUCUGUCAGAAAGCUUUGCUUCCUUUCCCUGCCAGCUGCUGUGAUUUCACUAGUUUCUGUCUAAUGCAUUCUGCCUUUUCAGCAGGAGGCUGUGCAGCAGAGUGAAAGUAAAACUUCAGGGUAAUGUACCUUUGCAUUUACUACCAGACUAUUUAAUGUAAAGUAGUGGUUGUGCCAUUUGCCUGCUUCUUUUGCAGGUAAAAAUAGCUUGUAUUCUCCUGUGUUUCUGUGCAGAUGUGAAGUCCUGAGACUCUGUGUGUAAGAGCUUGGGCUGAAUGUGAUGCUGUUCCUGGGGUGAUGGCUGCUCAGCAGGCGUGCUGCACUCAUGCUUGGUACAGCGUUUGAUGUGAGGUCCUUGGCUCAGAUCAAGCUGAACCACUGUCCUCAGCAGCACUUCAGCUUGACUGCAGAAAAGAGACUAAUUCUCUCAGUCUCACUAGUGGAUUGCUUUGAUUUGAUUCAUCAAAGGAGUUUCUGGAUCAGGGAUCAGAUCUGCAUUCCUGUUCUUAGGAAUGUGUUGUGCUGUCUCUGAAAUGAUGUAAUGCAGAUACCUGUGCCAAGGCCCUCCAUACCAUGUACAUUUACUAAAGCGGUGAAUGAGACUUCUACCCCUGCAGGGAGUGCCAAUACUGAAAGGCUUUUCAGAGACAGGCCUCAUCUGAGGGCUGCUUCAUCUCUGUAAGGAAAGAUCUUCAAAUGGAAAGAGUUCUGGCUAGAAGGAAACGGUGGGUAAAUAACCUGCUGAGAGAGGUGCUGUUGUGUAGGGACUGCGUUGUAGUCUGAAGUGACCCAGAGAGGGGGAGGACAGCAAGGAGCAAAGCCAUCCUGGGAGCUGUCACACAUUAAGUAUACACCCUCCUCUAAACCCAUAUUGAGUUGUCAGCCACAGUCUCCCCUUUUUCAGCAUCUUGCUUUCCCUUGGUAUGCUGUGCUCUUGCUGUAGGGGGGUUUGGUAUCUAAUUAAACUGCACCAGUAUGCACAGCUUUAUGCUGUUUGACUGUUCUGCUUAGGCAGUUGUGGUAAUUAGGAACAUCCAGUUAUUCUGCUCGUUGGGGUUAGCAGCCGGUGCAAUUUGUACCUGUAAAAGCAUAAUGGUGAAAGUGUUUUGAACAAAGGCCCUUUUAAUGGGGAAAGUAAAUGGCUGGUGAAAUGGAAACUGCUAGGCUUAACUGAAAGCUUAUUAAAAAGAUACUUGCCUGGAAGGUUGACUUGGAUAUCGAGUGCUCGGAUGUGUGAAGGGAGUAAUUAAAAUGCGUGAUGAUUUCUGGGAAAAACCUGUUGAACCCUCUGCAAAGAAACUUCCAUAAACUCCUGCACAAGCUGCAGGAAAUCCAUUGCAACUUAAUUCAGCCUGGAGAUCAUCAUUUCUUCCAAGCUUUAAUACAAGGGUUUGGAAGUCAUCUGACCCUCUCUCAGUGUGAAUUGCAGGCUCUUCUCAUCACCUGAUGGUGUUGGUGAGCAGUGGAAUGUAGAAAUACAGAGUGGAGCAUGACACGCUGGAGAACUGUUUUUAUUGUGAUUCUUCCCAAGCAGGCCUGCUUCUGUUCAAGCUGCCAGCACAGAUGCAAGACCUCAGGUCCUUCUCACUUCUGGAUGCAUGCAGGUGCACACCUGUUGUAUGCUGUGUGUCUGUACAAAUGCUUGCUCAACACCACUGCAGUGCAUGUGAGUUAAAAGCACAAGAGACUUUCUUUUAAACUGCUCAUGGCAUACAUGAGUAGGUCUGUAGACAGAGUAUUUAUUCCCAGUGUAUUCACUUGAGAUACAACAACAGUUUUAAAAUAGCUCGGGGAUUGAGGAGUCUGUGUAAACACAAAUAAUAUCCUCAAUUUUAAGUACAUCAUUUUCUUCUCAGUUCUGCAAGUGUUACACGGCAUCCACUUUGUAAUGGUUGCACAGUAAUUACUGCAAGAGUGAAAAAUAAAGCUAGGCUUCCCCCUGCCUGGCCAGUCCUUAGCAGCUAUGAUAAUAUCACAAUACAAGCACAUUUGUAUGUUGUUUACAGAUAUAUUUAUGUGUCUGCAAUGUUGUAGCACAGCCAGGUGGGACCACGGCUAACCUCUGCAGCAGGUUUUCUUACCACUCCAAAGAAGAGCAAAAAAUCUGGGAUGUGGCCUCAGAGGGUGCGUGAUGCUGGCAGCAAUGUUGUUGAGGCCCAACCUGCUACAUCAAGUGAAAGCAAACUGGAAACAAGGGUAUCUCUCACUUUGGGUAUGCCUCCACAAACUGAUGUGCUUUCUUGCCCCUGUUGAGACAGAAGUCAGCCAGCUCUGAUCAAGGAGAAGCCUGCCCUGAUUUGUUUUGCUCACACUUAGAGAAGGAGAAGCAAAUUUGGGGUGCAUUGUGCGCUCGCCUGUCUUUUCACCUGACUUUCUUUUAAAUACACAGAUUGCUAUAAUUGCAUUUUUGCUUCUCUCACCACAAAACACCACUGAGGAAGAGUUUAUAGUGUCUUCUCUGUCAUGUGUUGUUGCUGGAUGAGUGGGUACAGACGUAUAAAACAUGACCACAACCCCCAGCAGUGAUUUGAGCAUUUGCUUUCCUUAUUCUUCCAGACUGUUCCCAGGUUCCUCCCAGAAGCAGUUGUAUGCAGGGGGUUGGACAGGCUGAAGCAGAGUCAUGCAGACACUGCAGAAGUAUCUUCAUCUUGCUUAUGUGUAGGGCAAGGAGAUGCUCAUCCUAAAACCACAGUGAAUACUUUACUUCCAGAAGCUUUGCCAGCAGCUCCGCAGGCUCUGCCCUGCGCCAUGUGAAGCAGCUCUGGGAGCUCGUGCUGGAGGAAAGCUCCUACGCUGCUGCAAGGCAGGAGAUGUGGGAGGAGGGCAGGUAUUGCUGGCUGCAAACUACAGUAUUUUCUGAAAUUAACACAAAAAGAAUCACAUCCAGAACCAGCACAUCAGAUGCUUCCCCCCCUUCUCCCCACCCGUAUUCAUCAGUUCAGGAGGCUGUGAUGCCAAGUGGCAACUCCGUAUGGGGUAAACAGGACAAAAAACAAAGCCCCACGCCAGCGCCCGCCUCCAAAGUAGCCUCCUGCCAGCCACCGUGGGAUGCGUGGAGGUGAUGGGGCCACUUUGAGCCUCUCCAGGGUGAUUUUUGGAUGCUAUUUUCCUGGGUAGGUGAAAGCUGGCAAGGAUUCCAGGGCAAAAAAAGGCUAAGUGCAUCCUGAAGCUUAUGCUAUGCUCAUAAAUGGAAAGGAGGGAUCUUCUCAUCUACAAGAAGAAAUCGUUGUGGUGUAACUGAAGAACAUGUUGGUUUUCUGUGCUACUCCCUGUAGGCAAAAUCAGGUUUUAACUGCAAGCAAGCAAACCAAAGAGCUAACAGGUCAGGAGCCACCAAGAUGUCUGCUGGAUCAGAGGGUGCAGAUCUGACCAUCCUUAUUCCAGAAAAUGUCAGCUGGGGGCAAGCACGUUGCAAAUGAAGGUGAAGGAGGCAUGAGGACUGGAGGCUGUGAUUUUGCGCUGUACAGUCUGAGCACCACGGGAGAUCCUCAGCCCAUGCUGGUGAAGGAGAUGGCAUCAAGGCAAACUGAGAGCUUGGUGGAUGGAUUUGGGAUGGAUUGCUACAUGGCACAGCAUGAGCCCAUCCCUCAGAGCCAGGACCAUUCCCCAUGUGCGGGAUGUGGCGUGCAGGAGAGCAGCAGAGGCAUCCCAUGUGGGCAUCAAGGCAGAUCUCUCCACAAGCCCUUUUUGGAGAUGAAAUCAACAUUUUAGGACGGUGAUGGGGGGACUUAUUUUACUGUUCCCUUAGAAAAAUGGCAUUUUGGAUGCCAAAUACAGCAGACAAAGAUGCUGGCCACAAUUUCCCCCUCCCUUUCAAACCCCUUUCUGCACGGUGACAUUUCCCAUUUCCAAACCCUGCUCUCGAUUUCUUAUUCCUUUCUUUUCCCCUCCUAUUUCCCCUCCCUCCCUCUGAGCCCCCUGGGACCGGGCCCCUGCCCAGGGAGCCCUGGCCGUGUGCCGAUGGCAGCUCCUGGCACAAUGAGCACAUUCAGCCGGGCACCGCGCAGCGAGGAACAAACCAGGCAAGAGCAUGGGACCCCCCCUGACCCCUCAUUGCCUCCCCCAAAUAGCAGUGCAAGAAACAAAGCGGCUGAGGCCGUGUCCCAGUGCGCCGGCGGAGGCGAACUGGAAUCCAGCAUCACAAAACCAGCCCUGUGCAUGCUCCAUUCACGACGCAGGCGCGCGGGUGUCCUGCUCCCCCCUCCCUGCCUCCAUCCCCCCAAAAUCUCCAAAUCUGCCCGGUAACACCGAAGCAGGCUCCCUUUCCCAGGCUUCGGCCAAUCUGCGCGCUGCCAAGGCGGCGGUGCAGGGAACGGCAUGUUUUCCUUCUCCCUUUCUUCCUUCCGAGCCGCUUGUUUUUCUUCGGGGAUGGAGGGGAGGUGCUGGGCUGAGCUCAUGGGCUGCCCCCGCUUUAGCACACGUGUCCUUUCCCCAUAAAAAAAUGAUAAUAAUAAUAAUAAAAAAGGUUCAAAGGAA